AUCCAGAUGACGUGUCCAGGAUAGGACGAAAUGUGCGCACCCUGGAU
rnacentral:hammerhead_ribozyme from 1 species